GAAUAUUGGACAAUGGGGGCAACCCUGAUCCAGCCAUGCCGCGUGUGUGAAGAAGGCUUUCGGGUUGUAAAGCACUUUCAGUGGUGAGGAAGGGGGUCGUGUUAAUAGCACGGCUCAUUGACGCUAGCCACAGAAGAAGCACCGGCUAACUCCGUGCCAGCAGCCGCGGUAAUACGGAGGGUGCGAGCGUUAAUCGGAAUUACGGGGCGUAAAGCGCGCGUAGGCGGUGUGUUAAGUGAGAUGUGAAAGCCCCGGGCUCAACCUGGGAACGGCAUCUUAUACUGGCACGCUAGACUAUGGCAGAGGUGAGUAGAAUUCCCGGUGUAGCGGUGAAAUGCGUAGAGAUCGGGAGGAAUACCAGUGGCGAAGGCGGCUCACUGGGCCAAUACUGACGCUGAGGUGCGAAAGCGUGGGGAGCAAACA
rnacentral:rRNA from 1 species